rnacentral:rRNA from 1 species
CAAUAGCGUAUAUUAAAGUUGUUGCAGUUAAAAAGCUCGUAGUUGGAUUUGUGGCGUACGGUGUGUUCCGGGCACUUGUUGUCUGAGUAACCUGCUGUUGCCAUCCUUGGGUGGAACCUGUGUGGCAUUAGGUUGUCGUGCAGGGGAUGCCCAUCAUUUACUGUGAAAAAAUUAGAGUGUUCAAAGCAGGCUUAUGCCGUUGAAUAUAUUAGCAUGGAAUAAUGAGAUAGGACUUUUUUGCUAUUUUGUUGGUUUGCGCAAGAAGGUAAUGAUUAAUAGGGACAGUUGGGGGUAUUCGUAUUCCAUUGUCAGAGGUGAAAUUCUUGGAUUUUUGGAAGACGAACUACUACGAAAGCAUUUACCAAGGAUGUUUUCAUUAA